rnacentral:rRNA from 1 species
UACGAAGGGGGCGAGCGUUGUUCGGAUUUACUGGGCGUAAAGGGCGCGCAGGCGGCUUUGUUUUGUCAGGCGUGAAAGCCCCGGGCUUAACCUGGGAACUGCGUCCGAUACUGGAUGGCUUGAGUUCGGGAGAGGGAUGCGGAAUUCCAGGUGUAGCGGUGAAAUGCGUAGAUAUCUGGAGGAACACCGGUGGCGAAGGCGGGUCUCUGGGCCCGAUACUGACGCUGAGGAGCGAAAGCGUGGGGAGCGAACAGGAUUGAGAUACCGUAG